GAUCUAGCGCGUUUUUCUUCGUCCACAGCAAGUUGUGCACAAAGAUAAGUGUUUUUUUUUAAAGAGUGUUUUGGUCAACUCGAGUGUUUUCAUAUCUACAGAUGAAAUAGUUCGGUGUAAGCGCUUCAGAAAAACUUUCCCGGUGGCCCUUGAUAUUGAUUCUUUGGAACCUUCUGCAAUCGGAAACUGGACGGAGAGAUUCGGGCACCAAGACCUUAUCAGUUAAGUCCUUCCUGAGAACCUGGGAUUUGGUGAUGACAGAAAAGAUAAUGUUACCAUAGAAAAAUGCCUCUGGCCAAAUGAUAAUAGACAGGAACCCUAGAGUGGCGAGAAGGAUGUACAUAGAAGCUUCAGGGAGAAGUUUUUUUCAAGCAUGGUUAACGAUUUUCUACCUUGAGCCUACACCGCUUCACUUUUGUGGAAGAUAAUUAUAACAAUCUGUUAUAUCAAGCUCCCAUCCUUGGAUUAACGUGGAUGCCCAACGAAAUAAUUUACCAUAAGCCUUAUUUACUACCAAUGGGGACCUUCCCAAGUGACAUCUCCGGAGAGAUAGUGAAGAGAAUCUGUUGUUUAAGAUUAAGCUGGCCUGGUGCCAGCACGGGCUCUUGCUCGUAGAGCAGCCCGUAUGAAGAGAAUCUACGGCGCGGCCUGAUAUUACACUACUUGAAGGCGCCAACUGGCGAUCCCUUGAGUGCGAUGAUCACUUUCACUUCAAAUCCGCAGAGAAUCUAUGGGGCGGCCUGAUAUUACACUAAUUGAAGGUACUACCUGACCAUUUCAGGGAUCCCCUGAAUGCGAUGAUCACAGUGCAGAAGUGAAAGCACAGUUUCCAAAAAUUCUUGUCCUAAUGUUAUUAGCUGGCAACUCUACUCAACCAUACUUUCCCCGAAUAUGGUUAGAAGGAAGCAGGAAUUUCGGAGAAAUAAUUGACUUUGUUUCUACUGAUAAUUUGUAAUUAAAACAUUAUGGAAGGUCAUUAUAUACGCAUAUUAAAGUAAAAUAUGCAAAAAUUAGUAAC